rnacentral:tRNA from 1 species
AAGAUAUUAGUAAAAUGAAUAUUACAUCACCUUGUCAAGGUGAAAUUGCGGGUUAAAUUCACGCAUAUCUUA